rnacentral:lncRNA from 1 species
UGUAGUAGAACUAGGCAGUGUUCCAAAGAGCAGAGAGGAGGCUGGUUUGAAUUACAUAAAGGAAAGAAUUUCUCUGUGCAGCUGGUAGUGAGCUCCUACAGGUGGCUGUGGAGCCUGAGAGCACUAGCCUGUUCAAAAAGUGACUGAGCAAACUUAUGGGCAACAGGCUUAUUAAGUGGGUGCUAAAGAGAGCAGGAGGAGUUGUAGCUGUUGUUUCUCAGAGCUCUGAAGAAGGAGAGGUGCUGAUGAAGGCUUGGGAGAGAUGUGUCUAGACCCAUCUUUUAUCAGAAUGACCUUGGUGGGACACAGUAUCAGAAUUUGUAGGUGGGAAGGAGUCCAGUGAAACCCUGUGACCUGGAAGAAGUGAGGAUUGGAAGAUACCAUCUGUAUGGGGCAUUGCUUCAGACCAGAAGAGUGCUUGUCUAAGGGGUAUAGGAUUUGGCUGGAGUAUAGGAUGUGGCAUCUCCACUGGCACCUUUACAACCAGAAACUUUUCAAUAAAACAAUUCCACUAUGA